rnacentral:rRNA from 1 species
CAAAAAAGUUUUUAUAUUAAAUUUUCUCGAAUUUAGAAGAGCUAAGUUAAUAUUUAUUUUAUUGUUGAAUAAAUAUUUAUAAUGUUAAUUUUGUAAUGAAAUGUUAUUCGUUUCUAAAUAUAUCUAGUUUUCUAAGAAAUAAGUUUAAUUUAUUUUUGAUUAAAUAAAUUUUUCGUUUUUUCGGAAUUUUUAUUUUUUAAUUAUAUAUCAUAGGGGAUGAGCUUUGUGAUAAAUUUUUAAAAAUGUUUAGUGUUCGUUUAUUUUGUAGAAUUAGAAAUUUUUAUCUUUAAUAGUAUGUUAUAAUUAGUUUUGCGGGGAAUUUUAUUUAUUUUAUUUUAAGUUUUUUAUUAGAAUUUUAUAUAAAAUUUUAAAUUUUAAGUAAUAAUGAUGUAAUUAGUAUAUUUUAUUGUAAUUUUAAGAAUUUAUGUUAGGUUGGGGAAAGGAACUCGGCAAUUAAUUUUUUACCUGUUUAUUAAAAACAUGGCCUUUUGAAUUUGAUUUAAGGUCUAGCCUGCUCACUGAGGUUUUUAAGGGCCGCGGUAUAUU